CUAAAUUACGACACGUGGCAAGCUAUCAUACAACUUUCAAUUCUGUGUUUUCGUUGAAACUACUCUUUUUAUUGGGCCCUUAACUGUAUCAGCAUCCUGGACCGAGUUGGUCUAGAGCUUUUUUUUUGUAAUCGGAAUCUGCAUCUCCUGGAAUCAGUCGCCGUAACCCUUUGGAAUCCAUCCCAUCCGAUCAAACUUUAUGUAACGGAAUCAGUCAUAAACAGUCUUAUUAACUACAUCUCCCCACUCCUUCCACGACUUCCCAUUCAGAGCAGCCCUCCUUUCUUCCACUCGAUCGGUGAAUCUGCUAUAAGUAUGUUAGUUUGGAUCCAGGAAAUUCAUCAUUUCAUUCCUCACAAUUAUCAUGUCGUGUAAAGGUGGAAGCAGGAGCUGAAGAUCCUGUGAACCAAAAACCACAGCUUCUUCUCUCAAUAAGACUUGGAUGGAUCGGAAACUGGAGCAGUUAGAUAUUACUACGAAUGUGAGAAUGUUGGGGAUGAGGAUACAUGAAGGUUAUGGAGGGAGGGAUCAUGUCAUACAUUAAAACACACACAGGCUCAUCAUGUUUAAAUAUUUUUCUUCUCAAACCCUGUGUUGAAUUCUAACAGUUGUAUUAGCUUUCAUGGUCACAGAGAUUCUAAUAUAAAUUACUAUUGUCGUCA